UGGUUCACAGGAAGCCAAAACAGACUCCCUCUUUCUGCUCUCUGCCACCCAGCCAGAAAACAGAGAGUACAGGAAACACCUGGAGGAGCAGGCAGCUGGUUGUUGUGGUUUGGGGUGAAAGAGACAACCAAGUAGACCAAAUGAAGCACUGUCAUCAGGAUCCACCCAGGGACAUGUUUGCUAGUGUCUAGUGGACUUAGACUGCCCUGGACCAAGUCGCAGACAGCACAUGGGAGUAUAAAAAGAAAUAAUUCCAUGGUUCCUGCUACAGAGGUUCACAUGGUAACAACUGGAAAGGGGGAGCCAGCUUGCAAAGCUAUGAGACAUCAACCAAAAUUAAUAAAUGAAA